rnacentral:lncRNA from 1 species
AACUUCAGAAGAAACAAGUAUAAUAACGAAGUUCAACAGGCCUUUCUAAUCAGAAUCAAGCCAGAAUUGACUGGUUUCUCCCAGAAGCAUGGUGAUACCAAAUUAAGAAGGAGGUUAGCGGAUAAUCUUCGUUACUUCACUGGCACAAAUGAAGAUGAAAUGGGAAGAAAAAUUAUACUACAGGCAUACGAAGUAAUUAAAUUUACAUUAAUGCUACCAAGAAAUGUGAGCAACUUUUUCUUACUGGGAAAUACUCUAAAAGGUCAGUAGGUCUGACAAACGUCUUAUCCUUAAACAUAGUAAAUAAUUUCUCGACACGACAAACAUAGUCAAAAUGUCUUUUCAUAGUGACGCCAAUAUCCAAAUAAUAACCUGCAGGGUGUGAAACAUUACUGUGCUGCAAGUCAAGCGAGAACUAGAUGGUUAUCAUAAACUGCAAUAGAGAAGUUUCAGCUAUGGUUCCCAUUUAACUCAGGCCUACCAAAGGGCUAAGCAGUUCUGCUGAUCAAAAUAAUGAACUGAACUACUAGUCAGUGAGUAUGAAUUACCUAAUCUCUAUAUAGUGUUCAGGCUUAGAAACAAGUGUUUUUAUCAAAUGAACCAAGCAAGACACAAAAGGACAAAUACCAUAUGAGUUCACCUAUAUGAAGUACAUAGACCAUUUAAGUUCAUAGAGACAGAAAUGACACUAAUAGUGGUUACCAGAGGCUAGGGGAGGUAGAAAUGGGCAGUUGUUUAAUGGAUAUUAUUUUAGAUUGGGGUGAUGAAAAAUUCUGGAAUGAAUAAUAGUAAUAGUUUUACAACAAUAUGAAUGCACCUAAUGCUAUUGAACUAUAUACUAGAAAAUAGCUAAAAUGGUAAAUCUUGUUAUAUAUAGAUCUAGAUCUAGAUCUAGAUAGACUGAUCUAUUGAGCCAAAUACCCUGAGCUUUAGUGUUAGAAAACAGUUAAGAACCAAUGGGAUCAAAGCAGGAUACAUGCUACUGAAUAAACAAUUUCUGCAGCUCUUUCUUUGCA